rnacentral:tRNA from 1 species
GACCAUGUGGCCUAAUGGAUAAUGGAUAAGUCUGACUUCGAAUCAGAAGAUUCAGAGUCCGAGUCCCUUCAUGGUUA